UGGGGAAUAUUGCACAAUGGGCGAAAGCCUGAUGCAGCGACGCCGCGUGAGGGAUGACGGCCUUCGGGUUGUAAACCUCUUUCAGUAGGGAAGAAGCGAAAGUGACGGUACCUGCAGAAGAAGCGCCGGCUAACUACGUGCCAGCAGCCGCGGUAAUACGUAGGGCGCAAGCGUUAUCCGGAAUUAUUGGGCGUAAAGAGCUCGUAGGCGGUUUGUCGCGUCUAUCGUGAAAGUCCGAGGCUCAACCUCGGAUCUGCGGUGGGUACGGGCAGACUAGAGUGAUGUAGGGGAGACUGGAAUUCCUGGUGUAGCGGUGAAAUGCGCAGAUAUCAGGAGGAACACCGAUGGCGAAGGCAGGUCUCUGGGCAUUAACUGACGCUGAGGAGCGAAAGCAUGGGGAGCGAACA
rnacentral:rRNA from 1 species